GUGCUGUCUGAAGAAUCGCUUUCGCAGCUCGCGUACAGGGGGGCUCUGCGCCUUUCAUAUUUAGCUGUGGGGAAAGUCCCCGGAGAAACAGAGCGUGUCCUCGACUAUUCUAUGGAAAGCGACCGGCUCCAAGCACGUCGGUACUGGUCGAGGACGGACGGGAAUGCUUCACCAGGUCGCCUAGGCUCAUCUGGCUCCAUCUCGAAUCCACUCUGUGGCCUUUCCUGACGGAAUAUCUUCGAUCAAGGCGCAGGUGUGCGAAGAUAUGAGCACGCUUGUCGCUCGUUGGUGUUUUCUGAUGGACAAGCCCUUCGUUGCUCAUAGACACAGUUAUGCGAUUGUUUGACUCCUUCUUGGACUCAUCAACUCAAUGGGGCUCACUCUCAGCCAGCG
rnacentral:RNase_MRP_RNA from 2 species